CUCUUCCCGAGCAAACGAGUGAGGAGGAUCCAUCAUGAGAACACUCCCAUGUCCAAUCUCAGCAGAGAACAUUGACUCAAAAAGAAGAUCUUCUCCCUCUGAUGAAACUGACGAUUGCUGCUGCUCUUGUAGAAUAUUGAAAAGGUCCUUCGUGAGCUUCUCAACAGAAGAUGAUGUCUUUGGACGUCCCACACACGUCCUCCUCUUGCAAGGAACAGUCGUCUCCCAAGCAUUUAACUCACUCCCAUCUCCUGCACUGCUAAACUGUGCACAGCUCUCAGUGUUUGAUAUAGCCGAACCAGAGCUUGAUCUGUUACUAGCAUCCUCCUCUAUCAUGGCCUUUUUCAGACCAUAAUUGAAUUCUAAGACCGGUCUUUUAUUGGGGAGGCUUUCUUGAAUUGCUUUCCUCUUGAGCAUCUUGGUUUCUGUGUUCUUGUUACUUAAAGAGAUGCUCUUCAUUCUUUGAUACCUCUGAUGAUCUUGGUUCUCUUCACCAUCAGCACGUGCGUGAAGUGGAGCGUAGUUCACAAGUGUUCCCUUUGUUCUCCAACGCGAUCCACACGCAUUGCACAAAACUGGCUUCUCUGGUGGCCCAUUUCGCCACAGAGGUGUGCCUGUUUCAAUGGAAACAACAUAAGAGUUCUUAAUCAGACAAGACUUGAAUUACACAGCAGAAGUCAAACUCCAAAUCAAGCAAAGACAUUUUUGUUUUCAUAUAUCAGUGAAGAACAAUGAUCUCUAAUCAACCAAACAUCAUGAAGUCUUUAACAUCAACCAGAGCUAAUCUCAAAAACAGAAAUUAGUUCUUGGUUUUUUUAGGACAGUUGAGAGGCUUAUAAACACAAACUCAGAUCCUAAUGCAUUUGAUUCCAAGCAGACUGAGAACAAACAACACAAGGAUUCACAAACAGAAAUCAAACCUUGAUCAUUAAACAAAAAGCAAAAUUUAUUUUGAUUCCCAAAUGAUCAUUAAUGUUCUUGAGGUCCAGGAAGUCUUUGCUGUAUCUCUUCAAUGAUUGUUACACUUUGUUAACAAAAGCAUAUAUUAAAACAACCUGUAAUCAAAUUAUUUCCCCAAGAAAAAGGCAAUCUCAACCAGCAAAGAAAAGAAAAGUAUGUAUAUUGAAUUAUUGAUACAAAAAAUUUCUCAUAAUCAAAAUCAAAAUUGGAGAUACAAGAACUACUCACUUGUAACUCCACAGUGAUAGCAAGGUCCUUGCUUCCCCAUUCUCUCUCUCUGUUUUUUGUUUUUGCUUUUCUCUGAAAUAUGUUUUCAGAGAAAAGUUCCAAUUUUUAUAGACUUAACAAUGAGAAUUUAAAGUUUACAGAUUUUGUUUAAUAUUGAGCUAUAAAUGGUAUAUACAAAAACAGGGGUAUAAACUAUUAAGAGGCUUCUCUCUAGCAAAUGAAAAAAAUCCAGUAAAGGUUUUUCUUUAGCAGAAACUAAAGAAGCCCACAAAAAAAUGAAAAUAAUGGAACUUUCAAGUUUAAAAGGUUCUUUGAAAGAGAAAGGUUCAUUGAAAAAGAAGAGGCAUUAUGUAUAUUUAUGUAUUUAUAAGAACCACCUUAUAGUGUUCAAAAAAAAAAAAAAGAACCACCUUAUAAUAGUAUGUAUAUAUAUAUGUAAGACCCACCUUAACCACCAAAGAGAAGGCCAAGACUCGAAUAAAAAUAAGUUAUUUUCAUGCUGCAUAUUCCAGUUUCUAAAGCAGAAACUUCACUUUGGUCCUUCUCUCAGAAAGCCUAAGAGUCUCUUUUAUCAAUCUCAAUCAAAAGCCUAAGAGUCUCUCAUCCUUCCAUUACCACUGAGAAGCACCAUGGAGUUUAAAGCUUUAUCCCCUCAAAGUUGGUGAAGCAGCUCUGCUUGAGGAAACGACCCAUUUGAUGGCAAGUCCAUAAGAAGCAGAUCUUGAUCAGAACUGCAGUUAUUCUCAUUGCCGAACAAUGUAGUACCACCACUCUCUUGCGCAAACACAGAAGCUAAACUUCUUGGGCUGAAGCAAGAACCGUUGUUCUCUGUCAGAACUUUGCUUUCAUCGCUUGCUUUCAUCUUCGUCACACUUUUGGGACUCCUCAUAAGCCCUCUCGACUCUGUAACCAAAACAAGAACAUCAACAAAAACACAAAGAUUGAUGGCAGAAUCAAACAUCCUUAACACUAACCUGACUUGACUUGAGUUUGGUUUUCACAAUGCUUCUUAAUGGUCACAAUAGUUUUAGGUACAUUUGGGUUUAAUGAGCUUCUUGAAGUUGUUGUAGCAACAGAAUCUCCGGUCCCUUUUUCACGUUCCUGUAUCAAAACAUCCAUCAACCUCUAUCCAAAAGUUAUUAUUACAAUGUGAGUGUGACAAUAAGAGUAAGCAGAAGAACCUUAAGGUGGUUAUAGCUUUCCACCAAACGAGAUUUGUUAAAAUCAGACAAUGCAAGCUUCUUAAAAGCCCUUAUGUCUUCCAGUUUUGCCCCAGAGGAAGAAGGCAUCUCAAAGACACCAUCUGCAAUAAGUUGCUGAAACAAAGAGAAGUUCUCUUUGAACUGAGCACUUUCAAACAUCACUCUGAGGCUGCAAAAAAAGGCAAAAUAAAAGAGAUUAGAAUAUUUCUUAUGUCUAGUUUCAUUGUUUUCUUUAUUUAAAAAAAAAAAACAAUGCAGUUCAAACCUAUCAGGAAGGUUAACAGAGUCAAUCUGAGGAAGUAGUUUCAUUAGUUUCUUCUGUUCUUCCUCUGUGAAUUGUUCUGUGAACUCAUCAAAGUUGAAAACAUCCUGCAACAAAGUAUCAUCUUUCAAGUCAUUGUCACAAAGUCAACACAUUGAAAAGUCACUUGAAAGUUACCUUCAAGUCUAUGGUACAAAGUGGUGAACUAUGGCUCCCAAGGACAUGCACUCUUCCAGUUUGAGACUUGGUCCUCUUGAGCUGCUCUUGCUUUACUGCUUGUCCAACAAACUCUGAACCUCUCACUGCUCCAAUCUCAGCACGCUUCACGGAAUGUGAGUAUGCAUCACUGAUGGAUGAGAGUGAGCUGGCUUCAGACUCCUCUUCCCGAGCAAACGAGUGAGGAGGAUCCAUCAUGAGAACACUCCCAUGUCCAAUCUCAGCAGAGAACAUUGACUCAAAAAGAAGAUCUUCUCCCUCUGAUGAAACUGACGAUUGCUGCUGCUCUUGUAGAAUAUUGUAAAGGUCCUUCGUGAGCUUCUCAACAGAAGAUGAUGUCUUUGGACGUCCCACACACGUCCUCCUCUUGCAAGGAACAGUCGUCUCCCAAGCAUUUAACUCACUCCCAUCUCCUGCACUGCUAAACUGUGCACAGCUCUCAGUGUUUGAU
rnacentral:lncRNA from 1 species